UGGGGAAUUUUGGACAAUGGGCGAAAGCCUGAUCCAGCAAUGCCGCGUGUGUGAAGAAGGCCUUCGGGUUGUAAAGCACUUUUGUCCGGAAAGAAAUCCUUGGCUCUAAUACAGUCGGGGGAUGACGGUACCGGAAGAAUAAGCACCGGCUAACUACGUGCCAGCAGCCGCGGUAAUACGUAGGGUGCAAGCGUUAAUCGGAAUUACUGGGCGUAAAGCGUGCGCAGGCGGUUUGCUAAGACCGAUGUGAAAUCCCCGGGCUCAACCUGGGAACUGCAUUGGUGACCGGCAGGCUAGAGUAUGGCAGAGGGGGGUAGAAUUCCACGUGUAGCAGUGAAAUGCGUAGAGAUGUGGAGGAAUACCGAUGGCGAAGGCAGCCCCCUGGGCCAAUACUGACGCUCAUGCACGAAAGCGUGGGGAGCAAACAGGAUUAGAUACCCUGGUAGUCCACGCCCUAAACGAUGUCAACUAGUUGUUGGGGAUUCAUUUCCUUAGUAACGUAGCUAACGCGUGAAGUUGACCGCCUGGGGAGUACGGUCGCAAGAUUAAAACUUAAAUGAAUUGA
rnacentral:rRNA from 1 species